rnacentral:lncRNA from 1 species
CCCUACGUCAAGGUUCGGUGGACCAAUCAUGACGAUCGCGAAGCUAUGUAGGAACUUGAGGACACGAUGAAAGCGCAGCACCCUCAUCUUUUUGAGGAGUGAGUAAGGUAUGAGUUAAGUUCGAGUUUUAGUUGAGAUUUGAGUUCAUUUCGAGGACGAAACUCUUUUAAAGGUGGGGAGGAUGUAAGGAAGUGAAUUCUCGAAAUGCGAGAGUUGGACUUCGAUUAAAAUCGACUGAUUGUCGGUUGGGUACGCUUCGAAAAGGCCGAAGGCGUCAGA